rnacentral:lncRNA from 1 species
CAGCGAAAGCAAGGGGUUUGUCUUAUGGGUCGAGCUCGUCGCACCGGGCUUGCCUAGUACGGGUUACAUCUCUUAUGUGAUUUGCGAGCUAUUGCAUAGGAGCGGGGGUUUUACCCUGUGCGCACCCAAAAGGAUAGUGGCUGCGGAUUUCCCUUGUCAUAAAAAAAAAAAAAAAAAAAAACACAACCACCAAUAUCACUAAUAAUCAUAUUGCAAAAUUGAUAUUGCGGGAAGUUGUGCGCUUAAAUUAGUAUACCUGCCUUCUUGUCAAGUUAUGAUACUACAGUUGAUGAUUUUUUGCCUUAUUUUCGAUAGAUUAAUAAUAAUUGGUAAUAUUGCAUUUCAAUUAAGAAAAACCAAAGAAUUAGGGGUUAGUUUGGUCUGUGUGACCUCCUUUACCAAUCUCCUAUAGAGGUUAGGUGGUCAAUACACCGGUCUGAGUCCCUCUUAAUAAAAUGAGGUAUGGGAACCAGCCUCUUCGAAGAUUGCUGGUAUCACUGGACCAAUUUGAUGAAUUUUCCUAUCAAGUUCAAGGUGUGCCACAACACAAGAAGCAAGGUUGGCGCAGCAACUAAGUCAUCCCCAGUCACAAGCACAUAUAAGACGGAUCUCAUUUUGGGCAGCUAUUGUCCAAAACUAAAGCUAAAAGUUCCAAUUGACAAAGUCUCAAUUGCCAAUAUAGCUUAGGUCAUUAAAGUCAUACAACAGGAAAGUAUACAAAUGAACAAAUUCAAGAAGAGAUCCACAUACUACCAGACACCUCUUAAUAUCAGUAAUCAACAAGCAAGAGUUUUGCAGAGGCUAAAAUGUGCAAAGCUUCACCGAGGUGUCUAGUAGCAGCGAAAGCCCAAAAGGCUGGGCUUCCCCUUUUACCAGACACACCCUUUCGACCAAACACAUGACACAACCUAACACACAAAAUCCACUCAACCAUGAUAAGAAAAACAUCUCUUUAUAUUCUUGAUAAUGCUUUUUUAGGGGAAAAGAACUACAAUCAACUUAAAUACCUUUGCGCUUAACUCACAUCCAUACACCUUCUCCAAAAGAAUAAGUUAUAUCUAUCUAGUCAAAAUUAAAGCCUUUAGCACAGAUCGUUCUAUGGAUCUAAAAUUAACUCAUAAUCCAUGUUUUCAAGUAUACAAAUAUAUAUAUAUAUAUAUAUAUAUAUAUAUAGAUCUAAACCAACUCAUAAUCCAUACUUUUAUGAACACAAAUAUACAUAGAUCUAAAACCAACUCAUAAUCAUGCUUUUAAAGCACACAAAUAUACAUAGAUCUAACCGAAUUAUUGAAAAUUUACAAUUAUAGCCCUGAACGAUCUAACCGAAAUUCAUGUUUUCAGCUUAGGUACAUCUAUAUCUCUCAAAAAACUGUAAAUUCAUUAUUUUCACACAAAAAAUGCAUAGAUCUAAACUAAAAUCCAGUAUUUCAACUACAUAAAACCAAACCAAACCAAAUAAAGCAUCAAUUACAUCAAAAAGCUACCUGAUAGUCGGAUAAUUCAAAUUCGGAAAUAAACCAAAACGGUCAACGCCUAAAAAGCUGCACCAAUUCUCGCAAAGCUGUAUAAAAAAUCUACGAGUCAAAACCUAAAAGCUGUAUAUACACACACCCAAAAAGAAUAAAAAAGCAAAACUAAAAGUGAGAAGAGAAUUCGGCGUACCUGAUUUAUAAGUACAGAGACGAAACGGUAAAGAGAAGAGUUGUGGAAAUUUCGCAAUACGCGUUGUAGAAAUAUGGAGAAGAUUGGGUUUUGUUUUUAUAUGGACGAUAGCGUCAAUUUACCUAAUUGGCCGUUUGAUUUUAAUUAUACCACGUGUGC